AUGUUGGCGAAAAGUAAAUUCGUAACACCAAACACAAGGCACACUGGACAACUUUUAUAAAUAUCCACUAAUUUCAAUAGUAAGCAAUCUCAACAGCAGACAGCUUUCGGAUAACAUGCGUUAGAUACGUAAAGCACUCAAAUAGAAACAUAUAAUUUACACAGGGAUUUAAUGCAUUUACUAACAAAUUACCAUUCUUAAAUAUGACUGAUUUCUAUUUCAAAAUUCAAUUGCCUGCCUUGCGACAAACUAUCCAUCAAAUUUAGUACUUGCAUUUUUUUCAUUGAUCACAAUUUAUACCCCGUAUGUAUAAAAUCUUACUAAAAGGCAUCUUAAUUGUCUGAGUAAGAACUUUGGUUAAGGGUAGACGGUUGAGAGCAUGCACUUAUUUGAAUCACUUUAUGGCAUUUUCUUUAUAAUAGUACAACAUUGCAGAAGUGAAUGACAUCUAAAGCUACUGCUACUAUGAUUUUGCAUUUGUCUUACUUUAACAUUAUCUACCAUGCGUUUCCAACGAAUCCUAUUUUAAAGUGUAAAGUCAGUUAAAUGUUAACUGUGUGUACCUUCCUUCCUUCGAACGAUCGCAUUUAUUGUUGACAAACAUUACUCAAACUUUCAAAUGACUUUUAUUCAAAAAAUUUUAAAAUUCUACCAAAUAUUUGUAGGACAGAGAAAGAAAAAAAAAAUAUAUAUGAUUGUAGGUAA